rnacentral:rRNA from 1 species
GUGCCAGCCGCCGCGGUAAUACGUAGGGUGCGAGCGUUGUCCGGAAUUAUUGGGCGUAAAGGGCUCGUAGGCGGUUUGUCGCGUCGGGAGUGAAAACGCCGUGCUUAACACGGCGCUUGCUUUCGAUACGGGCAGACUAGAGGUAUUCAGGGGAGAACGGAAUUCCUGGUGUAGCGGUGAAAUGCGCAGAUAUCAGGAGGAACACCGGUGGCGAAGGCGGUUCUCUGGGAAUGACCUGACGCUGAGGAGCGAAAGUGUGGGGAGCGAACAGGAUUAGAUACCCUGGUAGUCCACACCGUAAACGUUGGGCGCUAGGUGUGGGGUCCAUUCCACGGAUUCCGUGCCGCAGCUAACGCAUUAAGCGCCCCGCCUGGGGAGUACGGCCGCAAGGCUAAA